UGCCCAGCAACUCCUAUCCCUACCUCCACGCGGUACCGGCCGGAAACUAUGAGUAACCUUAGGGAAGAUCGGGUAACCAACCCCGGUGGGAACUUUGGUCGUAGGCUGACAGGGAAGG
rnacentral:ribozyme from 1 species